rnacentral:rRNA from 1 species
GAUGAACGCUAGCGGCAGGCUUAACACAUGCAAGUCGAGGGGUAGAGGUUGCUUGCAACCUUGAGACCGGCGCACGGGUGCGUAACGCGUAUGCAACCUACCUUUUACAGAGGGAUAGCCCAGAGAAAUUUGGAUUAAUACCUCAUAGUAUAUAACCUUCGCAUGUUGGUUAUAUUAAAGUUCCAACGGUAAAAGAUGGGCAUGCGUCCUAUUAGCUAGAUGGUAAGGUAACGGCUUACCAUGGCAACAAUAGGUAGGGGUCCUGAGAGGGAGAUCCCCCACACUGGUACUGAGACACGGACCAGACUCCUACGGGAGGCAGCAGUGAGGAAUAUUGGACAAUGGGCGCAAGCCUGAUCCAGCCAUGCCGCGUGCAGGAAGAAGCAUCUAUGGUGUGUAAACUGCUUUUGUACAGGAAGAAACACCCCGACGUGUCGGGGCUUGACGGUACUGUAAGAAUAAGGAUCGGCUAACUCCGUGCCAGCCGCCGCAGUAAGAC